GUCCACGCUGUAAACGAUGAGUGCUAAGUGUUGGAGGGUUUCCGCCCUUCAGUGCUGCAGCUAACGCAAUAAGCACUCCGCCUGGGGAGUACGACCGCAAGGUUGAAACUCAAAGGAAUUGACGGGGGCCCGCACAAGCGGUGGAGCAUGUGGUUUAAUUCGAAGCUACGCGAAGAACCUUACCAGGUCUUGACAUCUUUCGCCAANNUAAGAGAUUAGGCGUUCCCUUCGGGGACGGAAUGACAGGUGGUGCAUGGUUGUCGUCAGCUCGUGUCGUGAGAUGUUGGGUUAAGUCCCGCAACGAGCGCAACCCUUGUUAUUAGUUGCCAGCAUUCAGUUGGGCACUCUAGUGAGACUGCCGGUGACAAACCGGAGGAAGGUGGGGAUGACGUCAAAUCAUCAUGCCCCUUAUGACCUGGGCUACACACGUGCUACAAUGGACGGUACAACGAGUCGCGAAGUCGCGAGGCCAAGCAAAUCUCUUAAAGCCGUUCUCAGUUCGGACUGUAGGCUGCAACUCGCCUACACGAAGUCGGAAUCGCUAGUAAUCGCGAAUCAGCAUGUCGCGGUGAAUACGUUCCCGGGCCUUGACAC
rnacentral:rRNA from 1 species